rnacentral:lncRNA from 1 species
UGUGUCUCUGUGCCUUGAGUACCCGUGUCUAUUGAAGAGCUGUGCCAUAAACCAUGUAAGAAGACUUUAAAAAAAUUCUCAGUGGAGUUUAAGAGUUGCUGGUUUGAGUUAGAAGUGGGUGGGGAAUUUAAAGACUUUUCUAUCUGGCCACGCUGGAUCCCAGUGCAGGUAGAGAAGUGCAAAAUGGUCGGUAUCUUCCAUCCUGGGAUGAGAACCACCUGUGCUGGGAGUAAGCCUGUCAUGAGAGCCCUUCACCAGCCUCUGUCUCAGCAGACAGACCAGGAGGACCAGACAGUGAUUCCAUUAAUUUUCAUUAUGAACUAUACUUGCCUCUUUCAUCUCAGGAAGAAAAGACUAUGACUGGAGGUACGUGACAGCUUUCCCUUUUUAGUUGCUGGAAAUAAGUUAAUAAAUGCAGUCACAAUCCAGGAUACCA